UUACGCUGUUAUCCCUAAGGUAACUUAAUCUAAUAAUCAAUAAUAAUGGAUCUAAUAUUCAUAAAUCAAUGUAAAAUAAAUAAAAAAGUUAAUUUUAUAUUCUUGUCACCCCAACAAAAUACAAAUUAAUAUAAAUAUAAUAAUAUAUAAAUAAUUAUAUUAAGAUAUAUAAAGAUCUAUAGGGUCUUCUCGUCUUCCAAUAAAAUUUUAGCUUUUUAACUAAAAAAUUAAAUUCUAAAACAAAUAAAAUGAGACAGUCAGUUCCUCGUUAAACCUUUCAUUCCAGCCCUCUAUUAAAAGACUAAUGAUUAUGCUACCUUUGCACGGUCAGUAUACCGCGGCCGUUAAAAUCAUCACUGGGCAGGUCAGACCUUUAAUUAAACUCAAAAGGACAUGUUUUUGUUAAACAGGCG
rnacentral:rRNA from 1 species